rnacentral:rRNA from 1 species
AGUGAACGCUGGCGGUAGGCCUAACACAUGCAAGUCGAACGGCAGCACAGUAAGAGCUUGCUCUUACGGGUGGCGAGUGGCGGACGGGUGAGGAAUACAUCGGAAUCUACUUUUUCGUGGGGGAUAACGUAGGGAAACUUACGCUAAUACCGCAUACGACCUACGGGUGAAAGCAGGGGAUCUUCGGACCUUGCGCGAUUGAAUGGGCCGAUGUCGGAUUAGCUAGUUGGCGGGGUAAAGGCCCACCAAGGCGACGAUCCGUAGCUGGUCUGAGAGGAUGAUCAGCCACACUGGAACUGAGACACGGUCCAGACUCCUACGGGAGGCAGCAGUGGGGAAUAUUGGACAAUGGGCGCAAGCCUGAUCCAGCCAUACCGCGUGGGUGAAGAAGGCCUUCGGGUUGUAAAGCCCUUUUGUUGGGAAAGAAGAGCAGCAGGUUAAUACCCCGCUGUUCUGACGGUACCCAAAGAAUAAGCACCGGCUAACUUCGUG